rnacentral:rRNA from 1 species
CGGCGAAGUGAAGCGGCAAAAGCUCAAAUUUUGAAAUCCCCCGGGAAUUUGUAAUUUGAAGAGAUUUGGGUCCGGCCGGCAGGGGUUAAGUCCACUGGAAAGUGGCGCCACAGAGGGUGACAGCCCCGUGAACCCCUUCAACGCCCUCAUCCCAGAUCUCCAAGAGUCGAGUUGUUUGGGAAUGCAGCUCUAAGUGGGUGGUAAAUUCCAUCUAAAGCUAAAUACCGGCGAGAGACCGAUAGCGAACAAGUACAGUGAUGGAAAGAUGAAAAGCACUUUGAAAAGAGAGUGAAAAAGUACGUGAAAUUGUUGAAAGGGAAGGGCUUGCAAGCAGACACUUAACUGGGCCAGCAUCGGGGCGGCGGGAAACAAAACCACCGGGGAAUGUACCUUUCGAGGAUUAUAACCCCGGUCCUUACUCCCUUGCUGCCCCGAGGCCUGCAAUCUAAGGAUGCUGGCGUAAUGGUUGCAAGUCGCCCGUCUUGAAACACGGACCAAGGAGUCUAACAAUCAUGCAAGUGUUUGGGCCCAAAACCCAUACGCGCAAUGAAAGUAACCGGAGCGAACCUUAUGG